rnacentral:rRNA from 1 species
AUGAACGCUGGCGGCGUGCCUAAUACAUGCAAGUCGAACGAAAAAUUCUUGGUACUUGUAUCGAGAGUUUUUAGUGGCGAACGGGUGAGUAACGCGUUGGUGACCUACCCCAAAGUGGGGGAUAACAGAUCGAAAGGUCUGCUAAUACCUCAUGUUGUCAUCGUUUUUAGAAAUCGAUGAUUAAAGGAGCAAUCCGCUUUGGGAGGGGCCUGCGUCCCAUCAGCUAGUUGGUAGGGUAAUGGCCUACCAAGGCGUCGACGGGUAAGGGACCUGAGAGGGUGGCCCCUCACAAUGGAACUGAAACACGGUCCAUACACCUACGGGUGGCAGCAGUAGGGAAUAUUGCACAAUGGACGAAAGUCUGAUGCAGCAACGCCGCGUGUACGAUGAAGGCCUUCGGGUCGUAAAGUACUUUUCAGGGAGAUGAGAAAGGACAGUACCCCUGGAAUAAGUCUCGGCUAACUACGU